rnacentral:rRNA from 1 species
GCGGAGGAAAAGAAACCAACAGGGAUUGCCCUAGUAACGGCGAGUGAAGCGGCAACAGCUCAAAUUUGAAAUCUGGCUUCGGCCCGAGUUGUAAUUUGCAGAGGAAGCUUUAGGCGCGGCACCUUCUGAGUCCCCUGGAACGGGGCGCCAUAGAGGGUGAGAGCCCCGUAUAGUUGGAUGCCUAGCCUGUGUGAAGCUCCUUCGACGAGUCGAGUAGUUUGGGAAUGCUGCUCAAAAUGGGAGGUAAAUUUCUUCUAAAGCUAAAUACCGGCCAGAGACCGAUAGCGCACAAGUAGAGUGAUCGAAAGAUGAAAAGCACUUUGAAAAGAGGGUUAAAUAGCACGUGAAAUUGUUGAAAGGGAAGCGCUUGUGACCAGACUUGCGCCGGGCGGAUCAUCCGGUGUUCUCACCGGUGCACUCCGCCCGGCUCAGGCCAGCAUCGGUUCUCGCGGGGGGAUAAAGGCCCUGGGAACGUAGCUCCUCCGGGAGUGUUAUAGCCCGGGGCGUAAUGCCCUCGCGGGGACCGAGGUUCGCGCAUCUGCAAGGAUGCUGGCGUAAUGGUCAUCAGCGACCCGUCUUGAAACACGGACCAAGGAGUCAAGGUUUUGCGCGAGUGUUUGGGUGUAAAACCCGCACGCGUAAUGAAAGUGAACGUAGGUGAGAGCUUCGGCGCAUCAUCGACCGAUCCUGAUGUUUUCGGAUGGAUUUGAGUAGGAGCGUUAAGCCUUGGACCCGAAAGAUGGUGAACUAUGCUUGGAUAGGGUGAAGCCAGAGGAAACUCUGGUGGAGGCUCGCAGCGGUUCUGACGUGCAAAUCGAUCGUCAAAUCUGAGCAUGGGGGCGAAAGA